UACGGAGGGUGCAAGCGUUCUCCGGAUUCACUGGGUUUAAAGGGUGCGUAGGAGGGCAGGUAAGUCAGUGGUGAAAUCUCCAAGCUUAACUUGGAAACUGCCGUUGAUACUAUCUGUCUUGAAUACCGUGGAGGUGAGCGGAAUAUGUCAUGUAGCGGUGAAAUGCUUAGAUAUGACAUAGAACACCAAUUGCGAAGGCAGCUCGCUACACGAAUAUUGACUCUGAGGCACGAAAGCGUGGGGAUCAAACAGG
rnacentral:rRNA from 1 species